AUAUAGAUAAAUUCCGCCCAUGGCAAAGCAAGGAUCAGCGGACACACUUUCAGACUAUUAUUGUCCAGGAUGAGCACGAAGAACAGGUCUGCAUAAUACUGUACGGUGAUGAUAUUGGACGCUAUCACAAGAUGUUUGACCUUUUCAAUACUUAUCUUAUGUAAUCUGCCAAAGUUCGCGAGCCAAAACCUUAUUCAUUACGGAUCAAUACAUAUGAAUGGGUCGUCGACAGUUUCACUAUUGUCGACUGUGUUGAAAGGCAUAACGAGAAAGAGGCAGUUUUACCUCCUCCGACAAGGUUGAAUAUGGUUUCCUUCCUGGAUCUUGAACGACAACGUCUAUGCGUCGAAUUUGGAGGAAACCUUUCUUGUUUGUUAUGUGGGAAGAUCUUGCUGACAACGAAGGAACCAAGCUACUGAGACAGUUAAAGGAAUACCCUAGAUCUUUUUGCGAAGCGGAUGGCUAUGACUGAAUUCCGUAAUGUGCGACGACUGUCAACAAGGUAUAACUCGAUGAUCUUAAUCGAUCCACUCUACGUGCAGGUGACUGCCUUAAGAAGCUGGGUGAAAGACAACGAGAGAAUUUUAUAAGCGUACACUUUGAAAAGCUUAUCGGAAUAGCCUUCAUCGCUCAAUCUUGCCCCUAUUGAAGAUGAUAUACUACCCAUUUCCGCCAUAGCUUCGCAUUCUACUGUGAGUUUGUUAACUUACAUGAUAACUUUAUUCUCAGAAUUAUCUGCCCGGAUAGUUUUUUAUUCAAGAUAUAGUUCUUAUACUAAUUUUGAGGAUUUUCACACACACACACACACAUAUAUAUAUAUAUAUAUAGUCUAAAUAUAAGAAAUUAUGGCUUCAGUUAAACCCAUCAUUUUGUUACUCUUCUCAUCUUCUGCUAGCUUCCGUACACAACAAAUUUUACAGCUUUUGUUUUGUGUGCUUGUGUGUAGUUCU